GACGAACGCUGGCGGCGUGCUUAACACAUGCAAGUCGAACGGUGAAGCUCCAGCUUGCUGGAGUGGAUCAGUGGCGAACGGGUGAGUAACACGUGAGCAACCUGCCCCUGACUCUGGAAUAAGCGCUGGAAACGGCGUCUAAUACUGGAUACGAGAAGGGUCCGCAUGGGCACUUUCUGGAAAGUUUUUCGGUUGGGGAUGGGCUCGCGGCCUAUCAGCUUGUUGGUGAGGUAAUGGCUCACCAAGGCGACGACGGGUAGCCGGCCUGAGAGGGCGACCGGCCACACUGGGACUGAGACACGGCCCAGACUCCUACGGGAGGCAGCAGUGGGGAAUAUUGCACAAUGGGCGAAAGCCUGAUGCAGCGACGCCGCGUGAGGGAUGACGGCCUUCGGGUUGUAUACCUCUUUCAGCAGGGAAGAAGCGAAAGUGACGGUACCUGCAGAAGAAGCACCGGCUAACUACGUG
rnacentral:rRNA from 1 species